CUGGGCUUUGCGCUUAGCCUGGUCUUCAUUGUGGCAUGCGGAUCUUCAGUUGUGACAUGAGGGAUCUAGUCCCCUGCGCAGGGAUGGAACCCAGGCCCCCUGCAUUGGGAGCAUGGAAUCUUAACUACUAGACCAUCAGGGAAGUGCCAGAGGCAUGGGUUCUGGAGAGAUCUAACACCCAGCUCCCGUUUAUGGAGGCUUCGUGAAUCUGCAUGCACCCGUAUCUGUGAUGCAGGGCACUGGGCUCGGAUUGCCAAAGCAGGGCUUCUGUCUCCCCCUACCCUCAUUCUCAAGUGGACAAACCCCAGUCAUAUACGGAUGUGAGAGUUGGACCAUAAAGAAGGCUGAGUGUUGAAGAAUUGAUGCUUUUGAACUGUGGUGUUUGAGAAGACUCUUGGAAGUCCCUUGGACUGCAAGGAGACCAGACCAGUCCAUUCUAAAGGAAAUCAACCAUGAAUAUUCAUUUGAAGGACUGAUGAUGAAGCUGAAGCUCUAAUACUUUGGCCACCUGAUGCAAAGAACUGACUCACUGGAAAAGACUCUGAUGCUGGGAAAGAUUGAGGGAGGGAGAAGGGGAUGACAGAGGAUGAGAUGGUUGGGUGGUGUCAUCAACUCAAUGGACUUGAAUUUGAGCAAACUCUGAGAGAUGGUGAAGGACAGGGGGGCCUGGCAGGCUGCAGUCCAUGGGGUCACAGAGAGUCAGACAUGACUGAGUGACUGAACAACAACAAGCAUUUUGGG
ensembl:lncRNA